UACAGAGGUGCCAAGCGUUGUUCGGAUUUAUUGGGCGUAAAGGGUGCGUAGGCGGUUGUGCAAGUCGGAUGUGAAAUCCCGGAGCCUAACUCCGGAACGGCAUUCGAAACUGCACGGCUAGAGGUCUGGAGAGGUGACUGGAAUUCUCGGUGUAGCAGUGAAAUGCGUAGAUAUCGAGAGGAACACCAGAGGCGAAAGCGAGUCACUGGACAGAACCUGACGCUGAGGCACGAAAGCCAGGGGAGCAAACGGG
rnacentral:rRNA from 1 species